rnacentral:rRNA from 1 species
UGAGGAAUAUUGGUCAAUGGGCGCAAGCCUGAACCAGCCAUGCCGCGUGCAGGAUGACGGUCCUAUGGAUUGUAAACUGCUUUUGUACAGGAAGAAACACUGGUUCGUGAACCAGCUUGACGGUACUGUAAGAAUAAGGAUCGGCUAACUCCGUGCCAGCAGCCGCGGUAAUACGGAGGAUCCAAGCGUUAUCCGGAAUCAUUGGGUUUAAAGGGUCCGUAGGCGGUCAGAUAAGUCAGUGGUGAAAGCCCAUCGCUCAACGGUGGAACGGCCAUUGAUACUGUCUGACUUGAAUUAUUAGGAAGUAACUAGAAUAUGUAGUGUAGCGGUGAAAUGCUUAGAGAUUACAUGGAAUACCAAUUGCGAAGGCAGGUUACUACUAAUGGAUUGACGCUGAUGGACGAAAGCGUGGGUAGCGAACAGGAUUAGAUACCCUCUGAGACUACC